rnacentral:rRNA from 1 species
UACGUAGGGUGCGAGCGUUGUCCGGAAUUACUGGGCGUAAAGAGCUCGUAGGUGGUUUGUCGCGUUGUCCGUGAAAACUCACAACUCAAUUGUGGGCGUGCGGGCGAUACGGGCAGACUGGAGUACUGCAGGGGAGACUGGAAUUCCUGGUGUAGCGGUGGAAUGCGCAGAUAUCAGGAGGAACACCAGCGGCGAAGGCGGCUUUCUGGUCCGAUACUGACGCUGAGGUGCGAAAGCGUGGGGAGCGAUCCGG